GAAUUCGCCCUUAGAGUUUGAUCCUGGCUCAGAUUGAACGUUGGCGGCACGCCUUAUACAUGCAAGUCGAACGAGAAAGUACCUUCGGGUGCGAGUACAGUGGCGGACGGGUGAGUAACGCGUAGGAAUCUACCUUCAGGUGGGGGACAACUCGGGGAAACUCGAGCUAAUACCGCAUAAUACCUAAGGGUCAAAGUGGGGGAUCUUCGGACCUCACGCCAGAAGAGGAGCCUGCGUUAGAUUAGCUUGUUGGUGGGGUAAUGGCCUACCAAGGCGACGAUCUAUAGCUGGUCUGAGAGGACGAUCAGCCACACUGGAACUGAGACACGGUCCAGACUCCUACGGGAGGCAGCUAGGGAAUCUUGGUCAAUGGGCGCAAGCCUGAACCAGCGAUGCCGCGUGUGCGAAGAAGGCCCUAGGGUUGUGAAGCACUUUCGGUCGCUGAACAGGAGACCAGUGUUAA
rnacentral:rRNA from 1 species